CGAACAUCAGGGAGGCCCCAGUGGUGAAACUGUACUUACCCACCAUCUCCAGAGCAAGAGAAACACUAAGUACAUCUAACACAGUAGUGAUAUGAACAGCGGCAGAGAUCCAAGGAUCAAUGUCCCAGAGACAGAAAGUCGCCGGGGAAGGAAUCUGAGUGCGAUCCAGCUGGAUACGUAUGCAGGGAUCUCCACCACUGCAGCGAUGAAGCAGCUCAUGUUUGACUGUUGAAAGAAAGGAUUUCUGAUUUGAACCACAUAGGCUGUUUGAAGGACAACUUA